UUAAAGAGAGUUUGAUCCUGGCUCAGGACGAACGCUGGCGGCGUGCCUAAUACAUGCAAGUCGAACGAACGGAGGAAGAGCUUGCUCUUCCAAAGUUAGUGGCGGACGGGUGAGUAACACGUGGGCAACCUGCCUGUAAGUUGGGGAUAACUCCGGGAAACCGGGGCUAAUACCGAAUGAUAAAGUGUGGCGCAUGCCACGCUUUUGAAAGAUGGUUUCGGCUAUCGCUUACAGAUGGGCCCGCGGUGCAUUAGCUAGUUGGUAGGGUAAUGGCCUACCAAGGCAACGAUGCAUAGCCGACCUGAGAGGGUGAUCGGCCACACUGGGACUGAGACACGGCCCAGACUCCUACGGGAGGCAGCAGUAGGGAAUCUUCCGCAAUGGACGAAAGUCU
rnacentral:rRNA from 1 species